rnacentral:rRNA from 1 species
UGGGGAAUAUUGCACAAUGGGCGCAAGCCUGAUGCAGCAACGCCGCGUGAGGGAUGACGGCCUUCGGGUUGUAAACCUCUUUUAGCAGGGAAGAAGCGAAAGUGACGGUACCUGCAGAAAAAGCGCCGGCUAACUACGUGCCAGCAGCCGCGGUAAUACGUAGGGCGCAAGCGUUAUCCGGAAUUAUUGGGCGUAAAGAGCUCGUAGGCGGUUUGUCGCGUCUGCUGUGAAAUCCCGAGGCUCAACCUCGGGCCUGCAGUGGGUACGGGCAGACUAGAGUGCGGUAGGGGAGAUUGGAAUUCCUGGUGUAGCGGUGGAAUGCGCAGAUAUCAGGAGGAACACCGAUGGCGAAGGCAGAUCUCUGGGCCGUAACUGACGCUGAGGAGCGAAAGGGUGGGGAGCAAACAGG